rnacentral:miRNA from 3 species
AGCAAAGGGCUUGACGCUAGCG